GACGGAGGAUGCAAGCGUUAUCCGGAAUGAUUGGGCGUAAAGGGUCUGCAGGUGGCGGUUCACGUCUGCUGUCAAAGACCGGGGCUUAACUUCGGAAAGGCAGUGGAAACUGAACAGCUAGAGUAUGGUAGGGGCAGAGGGAAUUCCUGGUGUAGCGGUGAAAUGCGUAGAGAUCAGGAAGAACAUCGGUGGCGAAGGCGGUUCUCUGGGCCUUACCUGACGCUGAGGAGCGAAAGCAUGGGGAGCGAACAGG
rnacentral:rRNA from 1 species